GCGCAGCAGGCGCGAAACUUCGCAAUGCGCGAAAGCGCGACGAGGGGAUUCCAAGUGCAUGCACUAAGUGUAUGCUUUUCGUGAGUUUAAAACGCUCACGGAAUAAGGGCUGGGUAAGACUGGUGCCAGCCGCCGCGGUAAUACCAGCGGCCCUAGUGGUGAUCGUUAUUAUUGGGCCUAAAGCGUCCGUAGCCGGUCCGGUAAAUCUCUGGGUAAAUCGUUGGGCUUAACUCAGCGAAUUCUGGGGAGACUGCUGGACUUGGGACCGGGAGAGGUCGGAGGUACUCCAGGGGUAGGGGUGAAAUCCUGUAAUCCUUGGGGGACCACCGGUGGCGAAGGCGUCCGACCAGAACGGGUCCGACGGUAAGGGACGAAGCCCUGGGGCGCGAACCGGAUUAGAUACCCCCGUAGU
rnacentral:rRNA from 1 species